GUAGUGAUAUGGUUGUGUGAAAGAUUAAGGGAUGGAUGUGUGAGUAGAAGGGGGAAUAAGGUGAAAGGGGGAAUGGGUGAUUAAAUGAGUUAUGGUUGGUUGGAUGUUAGGGAGAGUUAGAUGGAUAAGUGUGGUAAUUGUAGAGGUAAUAGAUGAAGGUAGUGGGGGGAGGAGUGAUGGAAGGGGGGGUUUUAUUAGAAGAAAAGGAAUGGGUGGGGUGGUGGGUGGGUUGGGUUGGUGAGUGUGAAUAAGUUUGGGGUGAUGGGAGGGUGGGAGGAGGGGGGAGGGAUGUUUGAAAUGUGUGGGUUAUGAAGUUUGGAUGGUAGGUUGUGGGGGUAGGAUGGUUGUAAGGGGUGAGGGGGAAUGAGGGUUGGAUUGGGGAGAGGGAGGGUGAGAAAGGGGUAGGAGAUGGAAGGAAGGGAGGAGGGGGGGAAAUUAGGGAGUGGGGGGAGGGGGAGGUAGUGAGGAAAAAUAAGGAUACGGGAGUGAUGGGAGGGGGGGUAAUGGGAAUGAGAAGAGUUUAAAUGGUUUAAGGAGGAUGUAUUGGAGGGGAAGUGUGGUGGGAGGAGGGGGGGUAAUUGGAGGUGGAAUAGGGUAUAUUAAAGUUGUUGGGGUUAAAAAGGUGGUAGUGGGAGGUGUGUGUGGGAGGGUGGGUUGGGGGGUUGUGGGUGGUGAAGUGGGGGGUGGGGAGGUGGUGGGGGUGGGGGUGUAAAAGGGUGGGUUAUGGUUGUUUGGUGGUGUUGAUUGAGUGGGUUGGUGGGGGGGGAGGUUUAGUUUGAAGAAAUUAGAGUGGUGAAAGGAGGGGGUUGGUGGGGUGAAUAGUGUGUGGAUGGAAUAAUGGAAUAGGAGGUGGGUUGGAUUUUGUUGGUUUUGAGAAGUGGAGGUAAUGAUUAAUAGGGAGGGAGGGGGGGAUUGGUAUUGGGAGGUUAGAGGUGAAAUUGUUGGAUGGUGGGAAGAGGAAGGGAUGGGAAAGGAUUUGGCAAGAAGGUUUUGGUUGAUGAAGAAGGAAAGUUAGAGGUUGGAAGGGGAUGAGAUAGGGGGGUAGUUGUAAGGAUAAAGGAUGGGAGGUAGGGAUGGGGGGAAGUUGGUUAUAUGAGUGGGGGGGGAGGUUGGGGGAAAGGAAAGGUGUUGGGUUGGGGGGGAAGUAUGGUUGGAAAGGUGAAAGUUAAAGGAAUUGAGGGAAGGGGAGGAGGAGGAGUGGAGGGUGGGGGUUAAUUUGAGUGAAGAGGGGAAAGGUGAGGAGGGGGAGAGAGGGGUAGGAUUGAGAGAAUAAGAGGUGUUUGUUGAUUGGGUGGGUGGUGGUGGAUGGGGGUUGUUAGUUGGUGGAGGGAUUUGUGUGGUUAAUUGGGAUAAGGAAGGAGAGUGUGGGGUGGUAAGUAGGGGUUGGAAUGUAUUAUGGUUGGAAGGUAGGAAUGUUGUUAGAGGGAGAGGGGGGUGGUAGGGGGAGGAGAUUGAGGAAUAAGAGGUGUGUGAUGGGGUUAGAUGUUGUGGGGGGGAGGGGGGGUAGAGUGAAGGAAUGAGGGUGUGUUGGUAGGGGGAAAGGGGUGGGUAAGGGGGUGAAGGUGGUUGGUGGUAGGGAUUGGGGGUUGGAAUUUUUUGGGAUGAAGGAGGAAUUGGGAGUAAGGGGGAGUGAUAAGGUGGGGUUGAUUAGGUGGGUGGGGUUUGUAGAGAGGGGGGGUGGGUAGUAGGGAUUGAAUGAUUUAGUGAGGGGUUGGGAGUGGUGGGGGGGAGUGGGGGUUUAAGGGGGGGGGUGGGGGGGUUGGGGGAAAGAUGGGGAAAGUUGAUGAUUUAGAGGAAGUAAAAGUGGUAAGAAGG
rnacentral:rRNA from 1 species